rnacentral:misc_RNA from 1 species
GGCCAGCCCAAAGGAGGUGGUGACCAGUACACCGUAGGCCUCGAGCAACACUAUUAGUCCAAGACUUAAUAGCUUCAGCAGAAGAUAAAAUAUCCAGCUUCGAAUAUGGGAAGUGUGCGUCUCAGCCUUCAGCCAAACUAAGACCCUAAAAAGAUGAGAGAGCAAAUUGAUGCAGUUGUAGAACCAGAACCAUUAAACACUUUAUUUUUGCGAUCUAUCCAUAUCGACCAAAUUAUGGCAUAAAAAGAGUGAGCCAGAAUUUGGUUUGGAAAGAACCAAUAACUAGAGUGUUCCAUUCCCCAA